CGCCGGUUUUUUUUUUGGAAUUUUGUCCCUUUUUUGCACUCUGAUCCCGCCACAGCAUCCCACGAAGGGGACACGGGCAGCUCCUGUCCCAGGGUGGGGUGGGACACGGCAGGGGUGGGGAUUGUCCUGCCUUGGACAGGGGGAGAUCCCAAACUCGAUCCCAAAUCCGGGUCUGAAUUCCCUGGGAGGAGCUGCCUUACAGGGGAAUCAGACCCUUUUCCCAUAGGGAAAUCCUUCCAGGAGGAUCAGACCCUUUUUCCAUGGGGAAAUCUCAAUCCUGAAUCUGGAUCUGAACCCACCGAAAGGAGCAUCCUUCCAGAAGGAUCAGACCCUUUUUCCAUGGGGAAAUCCCAAUCCCAAAUCUGGAUCUGAACCCACUGAAAGGAGCUUCCCUACAGGGGGAUCAGACCCUUGUUCCAUGGGGAAAUCCCAAUCCCAAAUCCGGGUCUGAAUUCCCUGGGAGGAGCUUCCUUCCAGGGGGAUCAGACCCUUUUUCCAUGGGGAAAUCCCAAUCCCAAAUCCAGGCCUGAACCCCCUGGGAGGAGCUUCUUUCCAUGGGGAUCAGACCCUUUUUCCAUAGGGAAAUCCUUCCAGGAGGAUCAGACCCUUUUUCCAUGGGGAAAUCUCAAUCCUGACCCCAAAUACGGGUCUGAAUUCCCUGGGAUGAGCUGCCUUACAGGGGGAUCAGACCCUUUUAACAUGGAGAAAUCUCGAUCCCAAAUCCGGGUCUGAACCCCUUGGGAGGAGUAUCCUUCCAUGGGGAUCAGACCCUUUUUCCAUGGGGAAAUCCCAAUCCCAAAUUCGGGUCUGAACCCCCUGGGAGGAGCUUCCUUACAGGGGGAUCAGACCCUUUUAACAUGGGGAAAUCCCAAUCCCAAAUGGAGCUGAACCCACUGAAAGGAGCAUCCUUCCAGAAGGAUCAGACCCUUUUUCCAUGGAGAAAUCCUAUGGGAAUCAGAUCCUUUUUCCAUUGGGAAAUCCCAAUCCCAAAUCCAGGUCUGAACCCCUUGGGAGGAGCUUCUUUCCAUGGGGGGAUCAGACCAUUUCUCCAUGGGGAAAUCCCAAUCCCAAAUCCAGGCCUGAACCCACUGAAAGGAGCAUCCUUCCAGAAGGAUCAGACCCUUUUCCCAUGGAGAAAUCCCAAUCCCAAUCCCAAAUCCGGGUCUGAACCCCCUGGGAGGAUCAUCCUUACAGGGGGAUCAGAAUUAACAGGGGAGAAACCCUAAAAGAGAGAAACCCCCCUUGGGAUCAGAGGGAAAUCCCUGAGGAACAGAGGGAUCCCAAACCUUCCUCCCAAACCCCUGGAUCAGGGCAGGGUGGGGAAAAUCCCGGAGCUGUCACUCCCCGAGCUCAGACACCCCAAUGAAAACCCCAAACCCAAUCCCAGAGCCACGUCGGAAUUCCCUAAAAAUCCCAAAUCCCCCCCAAAAAUUCCCCAACUCAGCCCCUCGGGUGGUUGAGUUUGAGGAUUGAAGGGGCAGCUGAGCUUUUGGGGGGCUCACCCCGACCCUCUGCGUCGUUCCUGCAUGCAAAGACCAUUUUUUAAAAACAAAAAAACCCAAAAAAAUCCCAUAAAUUCACCAGCAUGAACUGUCAACCCCAAAGCCAUCAAUAAAAACUUUGCAGUGCCCGCA
ensembl:lncRNA